rnacentral:rRNA from 1 species
UACAGAGGUGGCAAGCGUUGUUCGGAUUUAUUGGGCGUAAAGGGUCCGUAGGCGGCCUGGAAAGUCGGAUGUGAAAUCCCACAGCUUAACUGUGGAACUGCGUUCGAAACUUCUAGGCUCGAGUGUGGUAGGGGUAAAGGGAAUUCCCGGUGUAAGGGUGAAAUCUGCAGAGAUCGGGAGGAACACCAGUCGCGAAGGCGCUUUACUGGAUCACUACUGACGCUGAGGUGCGAAAGCGUGGGGAGCAAACAGG